GGCAGCCCACUCCAGUAUUCUUGCCUGGAAAAUUCCAUGGACAGAGGAGCCUGAUGGGGCUACAGUCCAUGUGGUCGCAAAGAGUCAGAUGCGACUGAGAACACACACAUUGUUUGCAAGAUACAGUAGUAUUGGUGCUUUAGAACUAUGGUGCUGGAGAAAACUCCUGAGAGUCCCUUGGACAGCAGGGAGAUCAAACGAGUCAAUCCUAAAGGAAAUCAACCCUGAAUAUUCAUUGCAAGGACUGAUGCUGAAGCUGAAGCUAAAGCUCUAAUACUUUGGCCACCUGAUUUGAAGAGCCAGCUCAUUAGAAAAGACCUUGAUGCUGGAAAGGAUUCAGAGCAAGAGAAGGAGGGGGCGACAGAUCAACUGGAAAAGGAAGCCUUCCCAAAUGAAGUGAGAAGUGGGCUGUAGGACCUCAUAGCACAACCCAUGAUACCUCAAGAGAAGGUACUGCUGCCAGCAUUCCAGUAAGUGGCUCUGUUGGUCUGGGAAACUCUCUCAGCUGUUGUUGUGGCUUCACUUCUCAGCUGCUGUGCCUGAAAAACGUGAAAAAGUGACAGAGCACCAGCCUGGAGUGAAUGUGAGCUCGUUUAUUUCCUUGUAGUCUUUUACAGGGAUCUAGGACUAUAUAUCAUCAUUUCUGGACAAGCUGUGUGUGGGUUUUUUUUUUUUUUUUAAAUCCA